rnacentral:lncRNA from 9 species
ACACAAUCCAAUGACCAAGAUAUCAUGAGAUUAUGGUUACCGGAAAGUGAAAUACUUCAGUGACUUUGAGUUUGUUAUAAUGAGAAACUGCUAAGAAAGAAAAAAUUCUCAACAGUUAUCUCAUUAAAGAAGAAUUUCCUGGUUAGUAUUGGCAGCCCUGCCCUAAAUUUUGUCAUUUUGGAAAAACUUGGUGAAAAAAAUCAAAGAUUCUUGGGAAACAACAUCAACAAAAAGAAUGUUUCCAUGUCUUGUGGGUCCAGGAAAACUCAAUACGCCGAAAGGCUAAAAUCAGCACAAGAAGAAUUCAGAAAUAUGAUUGUGGAUUAAAUAUAAGCCUUUCCCAGAUAGUCUGCAAUAGAAACAUUGCUUUCUCUAAAAUAAUAAUACUCUGAACCGUUUGCUAUUAGGAAAUGUGAUUUACAACUUGAGCAAUAUAUGCAAC